rnacentral:misc_RNA from 1 species
AACGCACCUUGCGCUCUCUAGUUAUUCUGGAGAGCAUGCUUGUUUGAGUGUCGCGAACCUCUCAACCCCGCCAAAGGCUUUAUUGACUUUGGUAGUCUGGGCUUGGAUCAUGGUCUCUUGACGUUACCUUUCGGGGUUCUGUCUGGACUGAAAUACAACAAGUUGAAUAGGACCCUUAUUGCGGCUUGACCUGAUGUUGUAAUUUACUCAUCGGGGACGCAUUAGAGUCUAAGCAAAACGACUUUAACAGAAACCCAUAUUGUUACCGAUUGGUUGACUUUGUGCUUUCGGGCCUUAGUUUGUUAGUCCAAUUUUAACACUUUAUGACCUCAAAUCAAGUAGGACUACCCGCUGAACUUAA